rnacentral:lncRNA from 1 species
UCUGUUUCUACGUAGUUGCUGUUGCCAACACAAAGAAGUCUUGUGAACUCAAUCCAAAUAAUUCCACUGCUAUGCUGAGAAAAGGGGGCUGGCGGCAUGGAGUCUUGCUCUGUCACCCAUCCUUGAGUGCAAUGGCACCAUCUUAGUUCACUGCAGCCUUGAAUUCCAGGGCUCGAGCCAUCCUUCUGCCUCUGCCUCCUGAGUAGGUGGGACUACAGGCAUGUGCCACCAUACUGAGCUAAUUUGUUAAACACUUUUUUUGUAGAGACGAGGUCUUGCUACGUUUCCCAGACUGGUCUCUGAACUCCCGGCCUCAAGUGAUCCUACUGCCUUGGCCUCCCAAAGUACUGGCAUAAUAGACAUGAGCCACUGCACCUGGCUCCUAAGUUCUUUUCUUGAGUAAUAUCUUUCUUUUCUUUUUUUUUUUAUUUUUUGAGGUGGAGUCUCACCCUGUUGCCCAGGCUGGAGUGCAAUGGCAUGAUCUCGGCUCACUGCAACUUCUACCUCCCGGGUUCAAGUGAUUCUCCUGCCUCAGCCUGCUGAAUAGCUAGGAUUACAGGCGUGUACUUCCACGCCUGGCUAAUUUUUUGUAUCUUUAGUAGAGAUGGGGUUUCACCAUGUUGGCCAGGCUUGUCUCAAACUCUUGACCUCGUGAUCCACCCGCCUUGGCCUCCCAAAGUGUUGGGAUUACAGGCGUGAGCCACCACGCCUGGCCAAGUAAUAUCUUAGUAUCAUGCCAUUGACAUUUAUCCUCUAAUUAUUUCAGAGGUGGCCUUCAGAAGGAGGCCUCUUUGGUAAAAUUGCUAUUGAGGAUAUUUCACUGAAAAACAAAUUUAUCUUUAAAUUUAAAUCCAGGAAAAAUUUAAACUUU